UAUUAUACCCCUCUUUACCUCGACAUACUUGAAAUUCCCUCAAUGUUAGGAUUUUCAUCUACUUGGAUAUUCAUGUUUGUACAUUUUUUUUAAUAUCAGAUGUAAACUAGCUAAUAUUGACUAUUAUUUAGAGCUCUGUAAUAAAAAAAAAAAUAAAUGUAAGCAGAGCUCUAGAUAAUAAGUAUGCAGGGUGGGAGAAAUCUUGGGUCAUUAACAAUUGAUUUGCUGAAAUUUUCAAGAAAGGGGAUUUAUUGGAAAUGCAUCUGAUAUAUUUAAUGUAUAAAACUAUAUUUAAAAAAAAAAGAUGUUAAGAUGAUGAGAGCCACCUUGUCAGCCGGGAGAGCAGCUCUAAGGGAGAUGGUCAAUUUAAUCUUCACCAAGUCUGAGGCUUUACCAUGAAAAAUAUGUGGUUGUUAUAAUGAUGAUGUUUUCGUGGUGUUGGGAGUAAGACUUGGAUGUCUGAUAUUGUUAACAUGUUGGUUAGCAUCAGGUUUCCAUUGGGUUACUUGCUGGGAUAAAGCUGUUAUAAGUCAAAAGAGUUGCUGUUGCUGCCUUCCUUGUAUGGUAAAAUCCUCAGACUACAAUCCUGCAAACCAUU